GUGAAUUCGUGCUGCUGCCCUCUGGGAUGCUCUUGGUCUCUCCUACCGUGGACUUCAGAAAUGAUCAUGUGAGUAAGCAGAGAAAAAAGCUGCAGACUGUAGAAGCUCAGAUGUGUUUAGGUGAUGAAAUCUUCCCCAUAGGCCUUGUGAGAAAGCAUUUCAUCUUGAGUAUCAAGAGCUGACUUGGGUGUGGUGAGUAACUCUAGUUUUCUCUCUUCCUAUCAACAUAUAGUCAAUUGGAGGGGAAACGUGUUUGGUGUUCCCUAUUUGAAUAAGUCCAUAAUUUAAUGACUCAAGCAGUUUUUGUUUAGUUGUGUCCAACUCUUUUGAGACCCCUUGGACUGUA
rnacentral:lncRNA from 1 species